rnacentral:lncRNA from 1 species
GGGCAAAACAUCUGGAGUUCAUUGCCAGGACUGUGAUGUUACAGAAAAGGACCGUGAAAGGUGCGUGCGGGACCCAACACAGAAUCGUGGCCAUGAAUGGGCUCGCUGAGGACAUUCGACAUCAGCGGUGCCAUGAGAAGCCAUGCCACCAGCAACAGGGGAAAGCUACGGAACCUGCUGGCAGAUCUACAGCAUGGAGAUGGCUCCAAGGAUCAACCUCUUGGUGGAAAAGAAC